GAUGAAGAACGCAGCGAAAUGCGAUAAGUAAUGUGAAUUGCAGAAUUCAGUGAAUCAUCGAAUCUUUGAACGCACCUUGCGCCCUUUGGCUAUUCCGAAGGGCAUGCCUGUUUGAGUAUCGUGAACACCUCAACUCUCAUGGUUUGCCAUGAUGAGCUUGGACUUUGGGGGAUUUGCUGGCCUUUGGUCGGCUCCUCUCAAACGGAUCAGCUUUCCAGUGUUUGGUGGCAUCACGGGUGUGAUAACUAUCUACGCCUGUGGUUUUCUGCCAGAUAACCUUCAGCGAUGGAGGUUCGCUGGGGCUCAUAAAUGUCUCUCUUCAGUGGAGACAGCUUUUUGGACGUUUGAUCUCAAAUCAGGUAGGACUACCCGCUGAACUUAAGCAUAUCAAUAACGGAGGA
rnacentral:misc_RNA from 1 species